GCGUAAGCGUGCGUAGGCGGCUUUUUAAGUCGGAUGUGAAAUCCCUGAGCUUAACUUAGGAAUUGCAUUCGAUACUGGAAAGCUAGAGUAUGGGAGAGGAUGGUAGAAUUCCAGGUGUAGCGGUGAAAUGCGUAGAGAUCUGGAGGAAUACCGAUGGCGAAGGCAGCCAUCUGGCCUAAUACUGACGCUGAGGUACGAAAGCAUGGGGAGCAAACAGGAUUAGAUACCCUGGUAGUCCAUGCCGUAAACGAUGUCUACUAGCCGUUGGGGCCUUUGAGGCUUUAGUGGCGCAGCUAACGCGAUAAGUAGACCGCCUGGGGAGUACGGUCGCAAGACUAAAACUCAAAUGAAUUGACGGGGGCCCGCACAAGCGGUGGAGCAUGUGGUUUAAUUCGAUGCAACGCGAAGAACCUUACCUGGCCUUGACAUACUAAGAACUUUCCAGAGAUGGAUUGGUGCCUUCGGGAACUUAGAUACAGGUGCUGCAUGGCUGUCGUCAGCUCGUGUCGUGAGAUGUUGGGUUAAGUCCCGCAACGAGCGCAACCCUUUUCCUUAUUUGCCAGCGGGUUAUGCCGGGAACUUUAAGGAUACUGCCAGUGACAAACUGGAGGAAGGCGGGGACGACGUCAAGUCAUCAUGGCCCUUACGGCCAGGGCUACACACGUGCUACAAUGGUCGGUACAAAGGGUUGCUACCUCGCGAGAGGAUGCUAAUCUCAAAAAGCCGAUCGUAGUCCGGAUCGCAGUC
rnacentral:rRNA from 1 species